CUAUUGCUUUUCACCUGCCCUGUCAUCUCAUGAUGGCUUGAGAGAAUCCUUAUUCUCUCCAGGACGAGAGUUAUCUCUCACCUCCCAUUUCCACUCCUUUCACAAAGAAACACCAGGUUGCCUUUUGCCAGCAAGAGACUCCAAUCAGCCUUCACCUUUCCCCCCAGACUUUUGCCUGGCUCCGGUGCUGGAGGUUGCCAGAUUCAGGGCAGGAGAGCCAUAGGAACUGGGGAAAAAACUGAACGUCAGAUUUUUUCACAUCCUUUCCUCCACAUUCAGAUGGGAGGAGGAGGCUGCUGGGUGUGACCUCCCUCCAUGGGGACGCCAACGCAGGCACUGGCUGCCUCUUCAAUUCCUUCAAUUCCAAUUCUCUUUCAGAAAACAGAGCCAGCACACCCUAGCUGCUGCUCAGCAGUGACACACCGGGCACACAGGUGCAAGUUUACAUCGAAAAUCGUAGCUUGUAAGAAGUUAGUGUCUUUCCAUAAAAACACGUUUUAUUUUUCCGCUUUAAACUUAUGUUGUGGAUUACAAAUAACGGACGGCAUCAGCCUGACGCAUGUCAGCAUGUGUGCUCCUUUGUUCCGGCCGGGAUAAUCUGCGCUUGUCACACGCGGCGUACGGCAGCGGGGCCGCGCGGUGCCCGAGGCGCUGCUCUGCCCCUCCGAAGACCUCGGCAGCGCCCGCAGAACCGCUGCCGGGAGGUUUGAGCCCCCCUCAGCCUUUCAGCCCAGUACCCCGCCGUAGCGACCGGGCCGAGCCGCCCCGAGCCGCCUCUCAGCUGCACCAACGGCCCCGCCCCGGGCAGAACGCGGCGCCCUCAGAGCUCGGACCUCCGCACCGGCAGGGGGCGCCCGCGUGUGGCGGCGGGCGGAAGCGUCGCCGCGUUCCGCCGCCGCUGCCGCCGCCGGCUGCUCGCCGCGCUCCGCCGCCGGGCGAGGACGGGCGCGAGGGACGGGCAGCUGCGGCUCCGCAGCACCGCGGGGCGGGGGCCGGGCCGCGCCUCAGCCUGCAGCCGGAGCAGGGCAGUCGUGCCGCGCUAGGGGCAGGCCCCGCCGGACGCGACGCCGAGGAGACGCCAGGCCGCGGCCCAGGGUGCUGGUGUGGCUUUGCUAGGCUGAGGAGGGAACAGUUGGUGUGUGUUCUCAGAGCCGCGUUAAGCACAUCUCUGCGAGACAAGGGGCUGCCCAGCUUUUCUUGGCAGGAUGGGCGCAGGUCUGUCAGUACGGUUUUGCUCCAGGGUUGGUUGGAUCUUCAGUCUUGA
rnacentral:lncRNA from 1 species